GCUGGGUGCGGUGGCUCACGCCUGUAAUCCCAGCACCUUGGGAGGCCGAGGUGGGAGGAUCACUUGAGUCCAGGAACUUGAGGCCAGCCUGGGCAACACAGUGAGAUCCCAUCUCUA
rnacentral:SRP_RNA from 1 species